UACGGAGGGUGCAAGCGUUAUCCGGAUUCACUGGGUUUAAAGGGUGCGUAGGAGGGCAGGUAAGUCAGUGGUGAAAUCUCCAAGCUUAACUUGGAAACUGCCAUUGAUACUAUCAGUCUUGAAUAUCGUUGAGGCAGGCGGAAUAUAUCAUGUAGCGGUGAAAUGCAUAGAUAUGAUAUAGAACACCAAUUGCGAAGGCAGCUUGCUAAACGAUCAUUGACGCUGAGGCACGAAAGCGUGGGGAUCAAACAGG
rnacentral:rRNA from 1 species